AUGAACGUUGGCGGCGUGGAUUAGGCAUGCAAGUCGGAUGCGAACGCGGGGCAACUCGCAAGUAGCAUGGCGAAAGGGGCAGUAAUGCCUAAGCAACCUGCCCCCCGGACCGGGAUAGUCGGCCGAAAGGCCGGGUAAUACCGGACGCCCUUACUGGAGGACAUCCUUGGUAAGGAAAGGGCAACUGCCGGGGGAGGGGCUUAGGUCCUAUCAGCUAGUUGGUGCGGGUAACGGCCCACCAAGGCGACGACGGGUAGGGGGUGUGAGAGCACGACCCCCGCCACUGGCACUGAGACACUGGCCAGACUCCUACGGGAGGCUGCAGUCGAGAAUCUUCGGCAAUGGGCGCAAGCCUGACCGAGCGACGCCGCGUGGCGGAAGAAGGCCUUCGGGUUGUAAACGCCUGUUGGGGGGGAGGAACACUGACCGAACCCCUGAGGAAGCACGGGCUAAGUUCGUGCCAGCAGCCGCGGUAAGACGAACCGUGCGAACGUUAUUCGGAAUCAUUGGGCUUAAAGCGCGCGUAGGCGGCACGCCAAGUGCCUGGGUGAAAUGCGGUCGGCUCAACCGCCGUAUGGCCCGGUAUACUGGCGCGCUCGAGGAGGGUAGGGGGCCGGCGGAACUUCCGGUGGAGCGGUGAAAUGUGUUGAGAUCGGAAGGAACGCCAGUGGCGAAAGCGGCCGGCUGGAUCCUUUACCUGACGCUGAGGCGCGAAAGCUAGGGGAGCGAACGGGAUUAGAUACCCCGGUAGUCCUAGCCUUAAACGAUGGGUACUGGGUAGGAAGGGCUCCGAUGGCCCCUCCUGCCGGAGCGAAAGUGUUAAGUACCCCGCCUGGGGAGUGUGGUCGCAAGGCUGAAACUCAAAGGAAUUGACGGGGGCUCACACCAGCGGUGGAGCAUGUGGCUUAAUUCGAGGCUACGCGAAGAACCUUAUCCCAGACUUGACAUGCACGGAUUAGCCCGUGGAAACACGGGUGACACCCGCAAGGGUGGACGUGCACAGGUGCUGCAUGGCUGUCGUCAGCUCGCGUUGUGAGAUGUCGGGUUAAGUCCCUUAACGAGCGAAACCCUUGUCCUUAGUUACCAGCGGGUCAUGCCGGGGACUCUAAGGAGACUGCCGGUGUUAAGCCGGAGGAAGGUGGGGAUGACGUCAAGUCCUCGUGGCCUUUAUGUUUGGGGCUGCACACGUGCUACAAUGGGGGGUACAAAGGGACGCCAGCGCGCGAGCGCAAGCCAAUCCCAAAAAGCCCCUCCCAGUUCGGAUUGCGGGCUGCAACCCGCCCGCAUGAAGUUGGAAUCGCUAGUAAUCGCAGGUCAGCCAUACUGCGGUGAAUGUGUUCCUGAGCCUUGUACACACCGCCCGUCAAGCCACGAAAGCGGGGGGCAUCCGAAGUCGCCACGCUAACCGCAAGGGGGCAGGCGCCGAAGAUGAAACCCGUGAUUGGGACU
rnacentral:rRNA from 1 species